rnacentral:tRNA from 1 species
GCAGUGGUGGUUUGGUGGUAGAAUUCUUGCUUUCCAUGCAGGGGACUCCAGGUUCAAUUCCUAGACAAUGCA